rnacentral:rRNA from 1 species
CCCCUAGUAACUGCGAGUGAAGCGGGAAAAGCUCAAAUUUAAAAUCUGACGGUCUUUGGCCGUCCGAGUUGUAAUCUAGAGAAGUGUUACCCGUGCUGGACCGUGUACAAGUCUCCUGGAAUGGAGCGUCAUAGAGGGUGAGAAUCCCGUCUCUGACACGGACUACCAGGGCUUUGUGGUAUGCUCUCAAAGAGUCGAGUUGUUUGGGAAUGCAGCUCAAAAUGGGUGGUAAAUUCCAUCUAAAGCUAAAUAUUGGCGAGAGACCGAUAGCGAACAAGUACCGUGAGGGAAAGAUGAAAAGAACUUUGGAAAGAGAGUUAAACAGUACGUGAAAUUGCUGAAAGGGAAACGCUUGAAGUCAGUCGCGUUGGCCGGGGAUCAGCCUUGCUCUUUUGCUUGGUGUACUUUCCGGUUGACGGGUCAGCAUCAAUUUUGACCGCUGGAAAAAGGCAUCGGGAAUGUGGCAGCUCCGGCUGUGUUAUAGCCCUUUGUCACAUACAGCGGUUGGGAUUGAGGUACUCAGCACGCCGCAAGGCCGGGUUUCGACCACGUUCGUGCUUAGGAUGCUGGCAUAAUGGCUUUAAGCGACCCGUCUUGAAACACGGACCAAGGAGUCUAACAUGCCUGCGAGUGUUUGGGUGGAAAACCCGAGCGCGUAAUGAAAGUGAAAGUUGAGAUCCCUGUCGUGGGGAGCAUCGACGCCCGGACCAGAACUUUUGGGACGGAUCCGCGGUAGAGCAUGUAUGUUGGGACCCGAAAGAUGGUGAACUAUGCCUGAAUAGGGUGAAGCCAGAGGAAACUCUGGUGGAGGCUCGUAGCGAUUCUGACGUGCAAAUCGAUCGUCAAAUUUGGGUAUAGGGGCGAA